rnacentral:rRNA from 1 species
GACGAACGCUGGCGGCGUGCUUAACACAUGCAAGUCGAGCGGUAAGGCCUCUUCGGGGGUACACGAGCGGCGAACGGGAGAGUAACACGUGGGUGACCUGCCUUCAGCUCUGGGAUAAGCCUGGGAAACUGGGUCUAAUACCGGAUAGGACCUUUCCUCGCCUGGGGGUUGGUGGAAAGAUUUUUCGGCUGGGGAUGGGUCCGCGUCCUAUCUGCUUGUUGGUGGGGUGGUGGCUUACCGAGGCAGCCGCGGGUAGCCGGCCGGACAGGGCGAGCGGCCGCACAGGCUCGGACUGACACACCGCCCAGACACCUACGGGAGGCAGGGGGAGGAAAUCAUGAGGAAUGGGCGGCAGACUCAGGCAGCGAGGCCGCGUGAAGAAUGACGGCCUUCGGGUUGUAAACCUCUUUCGGCACCGACGAAUUUGGACGGUAGGGGGAGAAGAAGCACCGGCCAACUACGUG